CGGCGCGGCGGCGGAGCUCUGAACCAUCGUCAACAAUGCCGUCUCACAAGUCCUUCAAGAUCAAGCAGAAGCUGGCCAAGAAAAUGAGGCAGAACAGGCCGAUCCCACACUGGAUCCGCAUGAGGACCGACAACACCAUCAGGUACAACGCCAAGCGCAGGCACUGGCGCCGCACCAAGCUAGGGUUUUGAGGGGCGAAGCCGCUGGGAUGCAGUACUUUCAUCUGUGCUGCUGGAGCUAGGGUUAUGUUGUCAUUUUCGUAUUUACUGUUUUUAUAAGACUGUUGAUUGGAUACUCUUGUUGAGACCUUUCAUUUAGGAGUUGUGUGGUGUUUGUGGAUCAUUUGGAUGAUUGGGGUUUGAUGUUAUGUUUUGGUACAUGC
rnacentral:misc_RNA from 1 species